rnacentral:rRNA from 1 species
UACGUAGGGCGCAAGCGUUGUCCGGAAUUAUUGGGCGUAAAGAGCUCGUAGGCGGUCUGUUACGUCCGCUGUGAAAACCCAGGGCUUAACCCUGGGCUUGCAGUGGAUACGGGUAGACUAGAGGCAGGUAGGGGAGAAUGGAAUUCCCGGUGUAGCGGUGAAAUGCGCAGAUAUCGGGAGGAACACCGGUGGCGAAGGCGGUUCUCUGGGCCUGACCUGACGCCGAGGAGCGAAAGCGUGGGGAGCGAACAGG